CAAUAGCGUAUAUUAAAGUUGUUGCAGUUAAAAAGCUCGUAGUUGGAUUUCUGGGAGGGUGGCAUGUCCGCUAACGUGUGUGCAGCGGCGGCCCUUCCCUACUCCUUCCUUGUUAGUACGUCCUCUUGGCAUUCAUUUGCUGGUGGCGGGCUCAGAUAUUUUACCUUGAGAAAAUUAGAGUGUUUCAGGCAGGCUAGGCCGGAAUACAUUAGCAUGGAAUAAUGGAAUAGGACUACGGUCUCUUUGUUGGUUUGAGGGACUGCAGUAAUGAUUAAUAGGGAUAGUUGGGGGCAUUAGUAUUUAAUUGUCAGAGGUGGAAUUCUCGAGUAUUUAG
rnacentral:rRNA from 1 species